AGAGUUUGAUCCUGGCUCAGAAUGAACGCUGGCGGCGUGCUUAACACAUGCAAGUCGUACGAGAAACCCCGGCUUGCCGGGGGAGUAAAGUGGCGCACGGGUGAGUAACGCGUGGGUAAUCYACCCUCGAAUUGGGGAUAACACAUCGAAAGGUGUGCUAAUACCGAAUAAGACCACGAUCACUCCGGUGAUCGGGGUCAAAGAUGGCCUCUGCUUGCAAGCUGUCGUUUGAGGAUGAGCCCGCGUACCAUUAGCUAGUUGGUGGGGUAAUGGCCCACCAAGGCAACGAUGGUUAGCUGGUCUGWGAGGAUGGCCAGCCACACUGGAACUGGAACACGGUCCAGACUCCUACGGGAGGCAGCAGUGAGGAAUUUUGCGCAAUGGGGGAAACCCUGACGCAGCAACGCCGCGUGAGUGAAGAAGGCCUUCGGGUUGUAAAGCUCUGUCAAGUGGGAAGAAACUUUUCCRAUCGAAUAAGUCGGGAAAUUGACGGUACUACUGAAGGAAGCACCGGCUAACUCCGUGCCAGCAGCCGCGGUAAUACGGAGGGUGCAAGCGUUAUUCGGAUUUAUUGGGCGUAAAGAGCGUGUAGGUGGUCUGAUAAGUCAGAUGUGAAAGCCCCUGGCUUAACCAGGGAAGUGCAUUUGAAACUAUCAGACUUGAGUACGGGAGGGGGAAGUGGAAUUCCUGGUGUAGAGGUGAAAUUCGUAGAUAUCAGGAGGAAUACCGGUGGCGAAGGCGACUUCCUGGACCGAUACUGACACUGAGACGCGAAAGCGYGGGGAGCAAACAGGAUUAGAUACCCUGGUAGUCC
rnacentral:rRNA from 1 species